CGGAUUUUUCUUGCAAACUUGUCUACAUGGGAAAUUUUUAAGGGAAAAAUAAAAAACCCAUAUUUUGUUUCUUCCCUAAAAAAGACCAAGGAAACCAUACUUAUCGGUUACAAAUUAUUGUCAAAGUUCAAUUCUACAUUUUAAUAUUUGCAAAAGUUUGCAAAGAAAACUAGAGAAAAAUCAAGGAAGGGAGAAGAAAUUAGUUAUUGAGGGUUCCAAAUGGAAGCUGGGAGGCAUAUACCGAUCCUUUUAUUUGUACUUGCUGCGACAAUGCCUACUUUGAGGGUUAAUAUUGCUGAUUUUGACGAGUUCUGCCAGCAGCGAGCCAAAGAAGCCAGGCAGGCUGCCCAAGAAGCCUAUCAACCAAAUCCUGAGGAAGUCGCUGACCAUUUAACAAGGAAGUUAUAAGUAAGAUAAUCACCUUAUAUUUCACCCAAAUUAUAAGAUAAUAGGACCCGUGAUGGGCGUGGAGCUAAUGUGCACAUUGCCUUUGGAGCUCAAAUUACCGUGCAGUUCGCGAGUAAUAUCAUCAUCCAUGGCCUCCACAUCCAUGAUAUCAAGAAAGGCAACGGUGGAAACAUUAGAGACUCGGAUAAUCAUUUUGGGAUUUGAACGCCUGGGAUGCCAUCUCCAUGUAUGGAGCUACUAAUAUUUGGAUCGAUCAUGUCUCCAUGUCUAAGUAAUGAUGGUCUUAUUGAUGCUAUCAUGUUGUCCACUGCCAUUACCAUACAUAAUCGUCACUUCACCACUAAUGUAAAAGAACUCUGAAACCUUAAAUUUCAUCAAAAUUGUCUCCUGUAUGCUAUAUUAUAGAAGCAUUUUGCGGUAAUAUUAAUUGGUUCAAGCGGGAGCUUCCGUGGAGAUGCAGUGAUGCAAAGAAGCUUUCUUUGUUGAAUCAGGAAGUCCAGCUACCAAGACAAUAGGGAAGAAGGAUGUGGUCCAUUCGAGGCCAGGGACGCAAGUCAGCAGGCUCACACGCUUCUCCUGUGCUCUUAAUUGCUUUAAAAACAAACCCUUAAUCAGCGGUGGUGCUCCAACUUAUUGUACAAAAUAGAUGUGCUCAUCGAGGAUAACAGGUAAUUUCUCUGGAACUGUUGAAGCCAUAAGCUUUGGAAGGCAACGAACAUAUCCUACCAUGUGCAAAUCGACUUGGUAUAGAUAUUUGCAUACAUAAGACAAAUAAAUAUAUGAUAACUAUAGACAAAUAGUCUGAAAAGCACUUAUCAAGUAAUAGAACGGAUUACAUAUCUAACUGUCACUGUCAACCAAAUGAAAGAACGAAAAAUUUUCGCCACUAGAACUCCAGAAGCUCCAUAAAUGUUGAAUGAGACUAUGGUUGUGUGAGUAAAUUUUAUAAUGACAGAACCCAACAGUAACAAUCUGCAGCCGACAUUCCUCUGUGAAAAAUGAAUGUUGCUUGAGAUGUAUAUGCUUCCUCAUUUAUGCUAUCAGCCUUUGAGCUUCAUUCAAUGCCCAAAAACCAGUGAACUGCUACAACCGAAAAUCAGAGUCUAAAAGUGAUUGCUAUUUUGUACCCCGAAUGAUUUGUGGAAGGAGGAUGGGUGCCAAACUGGUGACUACUAAAUUUAUGCUCAGUUCAGUUCAGGAAGAUUUGGAAAUCUGUUGAAGCUAUUCUUCUGAAAACAAACCAUAAUGCAGCAAUCCCAUCAACACAUCAGUAUAAUAUUUACUAGUAUAAACCAGUAACAAAAAGUACGCAGACCAAUAUAAUCUUCUAAAGAUACUGCAUACAAUUAAUCAUUGUCAGGAACAGUACCUUGUCAGUUGAUUCUUCCCAAAUUUUCAAUUUUUUCCCUUGAUGGGACCUCAAGUUUAAGGAACUUGGUGAACUGUGACACAAAUUUAUUAAGAAAAGAAAAAAAAAUUUAGCACCUGUUUUUGCUUUCUACUGUGAACUAUCCAUUAUACUGUGAGUAGCAUGAUGGAUGGAAGUCAGCAGUAAAGCAUAUAAACCUGAGAUGUCUUCAGUUCUAGUUCAUCCCAUUCUAAGGAUGGAUCACUUCCUUCUACUAUCCCUGUCCCAGCAUAGAUCAAUGCGCCAAGGCCCUAGAAUUCCAAUGGUGAGUACCAUGUGGUGUAACCAUAAUUUGGGGUAGUGACUUUUCAAUCCAGAUACAAUAUUUUAGAUUCUGAUGACAAAUUCGUACUUGAAAAGAACGGCAACCAAUGAGGAACCUAGCUCACCUUUUCUACCAAUGCUGACCUGAUGCCAACAGCAAACUCACUCUCUCCUCCUCCAAACCAACCAACAGGCCCAGCAUACAUUCCUCGAUCUAAUACUUCUACAAAAAACAAUUGGAAAUUAUAAUAGUUUUCACUUCAGUGGUAAGCAAACCUAAUGUACUGAGACCCAGAGAAUCUACUACCAGGAUUUGGGUGGUUGAAGUAUGUCUGGCCAACAAAAUAGUGAGGAUGUUUAUUCGCGUAUCAAGAGUAUAGUUUUCAUUUACACAAGAGAAGUAAUAGAAAGAUCUAUAAUUAUUACUUGCAUGCUUGAUUCAGAUUAAAAAAGUUGCCCAUAAAAGUUAGGUUCCAUUCAAUAUUCAGGAGUAAUGUUGAAGUUUAUUUUCUUUGGGUAUCCCGCCAGGUUGCUACAGCCUACAGCCACAACCCCUUGAAGCAGAACAGUAACUACAUUCCAAUUCCAAGAAAAGAAAAUUUAUUAACAGGACUUGCACAGGUACUGACAGUUCUCAUCUUGACAGAGACAACUGUUCCAGAAUAUUUUCUAAAAUGUCAAGAAAGAACAAAGCAUGGUACAAAUUUCAUUCACAUAUAUUCCCAUGUGUGGUACAGAAGCCCCUCAACCAUAAAAAAACAAACUCAUCAGUGGUUAACUCCUAACCCACUUUAUUGCUUGUUUGAACACCAUUUUUGAGCAUCAAUUUAGCCAGGUUGGGAAAGAUAAGAUGAGACUUUAGUAAAUAACUCGAGAACAUAAGAAACUCUCUUUUAUGAUCAUAGUAACAUGUCCUUACCCCUGAUUUCUUUUACUUGAUAACUAAGAAUUUUUUUACAAAAUUGGUUUCACAGAAACUCAACACAAAUGAAUUGACCUCAAUAGGUAUAAUAAUGAUUCUGGGAUUAUCAAUCAAAGCAAAAAUUCAAAAAGCAGUUUCAUUGAAAUACGACAAACACAAUGAUUCAUGGAAAUACCAGUUUCUGCAAUUAAAAGCCGUGCCUCUUCUGUUGGAAAUCCACAAACUGCUGGAGUUGGGUGAAGAGAAGACAAAAUGUCAAACUGGAAAAGAAAACAAUGAAGUAACUAUGUUAAAUUAACAAACAGAUAUAGUUAAUUGCUCUUCAACAACAACUCUCUUCAAAAUUAUCAGAUAGAAACAUACUGCACAUUCAUGAAAAAUCAAGUUCAGAUGCCUACACUGCACCCUCAACAACAUACAAGUGGAAUAUAAACCAGACAUUCAUAUGUGGUUGAAGGGAAUUUCUUUACAUGGAUGUGUUCCCUCACCUCAUCAUCUUCACUUCUUAAAGUUCCUGCCAAUUGGGCAUACAGAUGUUGAACUCUUGGGAAUUUUCGUAUUGCUUUCUUUGGUUCCAUUACUACCCUGUUACAUAUAGCCUGCAAAGUUGAAUACAGUAAGAGUUCAACUUUUUAUUUUAUUUUAUUUCCUUUUUUCCCUUCAUGUUGGAUAAAAAAAUUAUAGAACUUCUUAACAGUGUACUCCAAGUGUUCAUGGAAAGGUCUCUGGUCAGUUAGGGCAGGAGAAGAGUCACCCAGUAAGCAUGAUCAGAUAGAAUUAUCACACCAUGAUAAUUAUGUAGUACAUGGAUUGCUAUAGUCCAUUGUCAUGACCAGGACACAUUUAAUAAGGGCACAAAAUAAUGAACAUGCCUCUAAUUUUCUUCUUAUGCUGUCUCGUACUAUGGUAAACUCAAGAUGGUCCUUUGGACUGGAAAGUAAAUCACGUUCUAUUUGGAGAUCUAGAGCCUUUGAUUGACCUCUGGCACGGGUUCCAGCCAGUGCCUCGCUACUAACUCCUAGCCAUUUUCUGUGAAAUAGUUGCUCUGGCUAUUCAUAAAGUUCAUACAAGUCAAAACUAGAAAGCCACUUAAUCUCCAUUGAUCAUGAAAAUUUACAUCUUAUGAAUAACUAAAUAAAUGUAUAGGCCAAAAAAUUGAGCAAAAAGUAAAAACUUUUAACUUCUAAAAGCAGUUCCUUGCAUCAUGAUAAAAUUGGCAGAGUAGACCAUUAGAAAAAAGUAGGAUUCAUUAAAAACAGAGAGGUGCAAUAGAGAGAAUGCAAAGUUUUAUUUAGAUCAGUGGUCAGACUUGCCGUGUUCCCUAUAAAUGCUGGAGCAUUCGGUGGCUGAAGACAAAAUUGAUAAGCAUUUUCUCCUUCAACCUGUAAGUAAAUCUUGAGCAUUCUAAUUGUUACUUAUCACGAGUAAAGUGAUGAUUCAGUUAACAAUUAAUUACAAAAGUACCUGUAGACAAGCCAACCAUGCUAUAGGAUCAAUGUCAGUAGCAGUUACAACUUCGCUGCUACGUGCGAGGACAACCUAGAUUUUCAAGUCAAAAUUGAUAAACCAAAGACAAAUCGCAUUGUAAUAAGGAUUAAGGAAGAAGAAUAAGGCUAAAUAUAUUAUUAUCCCAAGAAAAGAAACUGCAAGCUUGAUAUUACCUUAAUGAGUGGUGAGCUGCUUCUUUUGAUUAUCUGCAACGCUCUCUUCAAGGCAAGAUCCCAGUAGGUCUUAUUGGGAAUUUGAUUAUUGCUUAAAAUUAAUGUUCUAGCAACUUCUUUACCCAACUUCACAAUAGUAGAAGAAACCUGAUUCAUCGUGAGUUGAAGUGCAUCAAUGGCCUGUUCCCAUGUCCAGGAGAGGGCAUUGUCCCAGGCAAUAGUUACAGCAAGCAUCGAACUUCCUUCAAGCUCAUCAAACUCAACCUGCGGAACAAUGAAGUAAAAUGAACCAAAAGACUCCCAUUCGGAUGAUAUGUUGGCCAUUGCAUCAAAUCGAAUUGCCCCAUAAGCACGAAUCAAAGGACAUUUGGCAGAUAGGAACCUCUUGAUGGACUUCCAGUCACUGUAAGAGAAUUGAUGGAUAUGCCUAAAGAGAACAGCAGAGCCUACACCGGCCACGCUGACCAAAUUGUGGACAUGGGCAUGGCCAUUUCCGUUGGUGAAGUCUGUGAAAAGGUGACCGUCGUCCUUUCUUCGGCUUCUACAGGAGAAGAAGCAGCGUGGAAGAAGCUGAUGCUGAGCAUGGAGCCAAUCAAUUGCCUCAAUUCUCUGUUGAAUGGGCACCUUUCCAUCACAGUAGACACAAAUAUUAGCUUUAAGAAUUGGUUCAAAUAUUGGGUAAUCAGGUUUUUAAAAUUUAAUAUCGCAGUUGCGGGGAAGAGAUCUGACAUAGCUCUCCUUUCUAUUUUAGCAAAACAAUAAUUAAAUUUUAAUCUCAAAUAAAUUAAUUAGGACAAAGCUAUAUUAAUCUUUUUCUUCAUUCAACUUUACAUGAAACUAGUUCAUUAUUCUUACUUUUAUAACCAAAUCAAUUCCAAAGUCUAUUAACAUUAACAAAUCAACAUAAAAUUCCUUCGAUUUUUUUUUUAAAUUAUAAAAUUCCUUCGAUUUUUAAAAUCAUAAGGGAAAUUAUUAAUAAGUGAAUUUUUCAUACUUUAUAACUUAUCUAUUGAAUAUAAAAGCCAAGCAUGCUACUCCAAAUUGGCAGAAUUUCUUUUAAAUUAGUAGCGUAUCAUUAACUUUAAAUUUAUUUGCAAAUUAUAUAAAUCGUAAUAGAAUUUAACUCAAUUAUAAACCAAUGUGAUGAGUGUUUAAAGAAAUUCAUUUAUAUUCUAAAAAAAGUAAAAAAAUGUUGACUUCGAUACAGCAAUCCAAUCCUAGAGUGUCCAUCUACAUUAUUGGGAAUUUGGAAUGAUGUCUAAACAAAAGAGUAAGGCUCCAGGAUAAGAGGAGAGAUAUCGUUACGUGCACCAUUCAAUGCCAGCCAACCACGUGGCACCAACCCAUUUCUCGGCCAAUGCAUGACUUGCCUACCAGUGCAGUGCAGAUAAGAAACGGAUUAUAUUCCACAGCAACAGGCAACUUACCUGGAGACGUAUAAUCCCGGAAGUGAACGGCGGUGGAUUGGCUUUCAAAUUAGAAAUAGCCAAAUUGAGGCUGUCUGUGGCAAAUGCAGGAGAUGCUACUGCUGGAAAUGUUCGAGUUUCAAUGGUACCAACAGGGACUCUGGGGUCACCUUGGCACCCAUUCAUGGAUAGUGAACACGAUUGAUAUCUCUGUUCCAUCAUUAAAUUAUAACCAAACAUGGUAGAUUUUCAGAGCUCCUAAGACAGUGAGAAUAGAAGCAAAAUGUGUAGGAAAGUGAAGAAUCAAGUAGGCUCACAUGGUGGAAAAUAUGCACCGAUUGCCUGCUGGAAAUUGGUUGGCUGGAGAUACUGCAUUUGGCUAAUUCUAAAUCCUUUAAACCUGCAAGAAAAUGCUUGGAUACAAUAGCAGUUGCCAUGAGAGAGAGAGAGAGAGAGAG
rnacentral:misc_RNA from 1 species